rnacentral:lncRNA from 1 species
CAAAGCUCUCACCAGGUGCAUGAUAUAUUAACCAACGGAAACUAAUUCAGACAUCUUGAGGUAUGUUAGUAGCGUACUCAAUCUAUGAUUCAUGUCAAACUUCAUAUGGAGUUGAGACUUGAUGCAAUGAAGAUUACUGUAUGGAGUCAUACUUGUUUGUCUUAUUCUCAACUGUGGAAUGUUGUGUUUAUCUAAAUUGAUGAUUCUUCUGCCUUCACUUGGGACUUCCUGGAAAUGGUUAAAAUCAUAUGUACCUUGUUGUAUUUGACUGUCUUAUCCUCAAUUGUGGUGUGCUUUGUUUAUCUAAGAUGAUGAUUCUUUUGGCUGUAUCUGGAACCUCUUGAAAAGAUCUAAAUUCAUAUGUACCUGCAAAACGAAAAACCAAGUUAGCAAAAAAAUCAGCAAGAGUAUUNNN